GGAAGGGGUUUAUGUUACCUGUAACUCAAAGAGUCUUAACUAAGACUGCUGCUUUCAUGAUGGGCGUGCCUAGAAGGACUUGGUAAAAGGCGCCUCCCUCACUGUGCAGAGGAAGAGAGAGGAUGAGUGUGGUAUUAUUGAGGCCUCUGCUUUGGAUCAUGAAUCCUCAACCCUGAGGAGAAACUGAAGCUUCUGGAUAUGGAUGGAUCAACCCAGGGUGGGAGGAACUUAAGAUAUGCCAAAGAAGACUUGAAUCUUUCUGCCAAAGUCAUUCAAUUUAUACUUUGACCAAACCAGGAGACUACAUUCUCACUCCCAAACAAUACCAAAUGGCAGCAGGGAAUGGCACAGGGGAGAGUCCUGUGUUUGCAGGUAGCUCACAGUAAAGUUUCACCUGCUCCCCAGGCUCCCAGCUUGCAGAUGAGCCUCAAGUUUACACCAGAGAGUAUACAAGAUCGCUAUUUGGAUACCACACACCACUUUGCCAGUUUCCGUCCUCUUCAAUUAUUUACCGCUUAAUUGCCUGCAUUGAAACAGAAUCUGGAAACACAGAGUGAUAUGUGGGCUUAUUUGCAAGCUAGAGAAGAAGAACUCAAGUCCAAUGAAAUACCUGGAGCAGAAACAUGUCAUGGCUCUCUGGCAUUCUCUUGCCUUGGGAAGGCGGUGAGCGCAGGGCUGGGAACCAUCAGCACAGAGAGACAGAGUCACUCCUGGGCUGGAAGAGUCUUGCAACUCUUGGCCACAGUCUCUUUUCAGAUCUGUCAGGACUUUCUCCUCAAUGGUUAUGUCACUGAGAGCCCUGCAUCUUGGUUUCAUCUGCAAAAGACAGACUGCAAAGGGGAAUGGAAGGGAAAAUAAGCUUCUCUUUAGAUUUAAAAGAUCACUAUCAUAAAUUUUACUUUCACCAUGUACUUAACAUAGGAAGAAAUAUUAGUAGCUAUGAAAAUAAGAAAAAC
rnacentral:lncRNA from 1 species